UACGAAGGGUGCAAGCGUUACUCGGAAUUACUGGGCGUAAAGCGUGCGUAGGUGGUUUGUUAAGUCUGUUGUGAAAGCCCCGGGCUCAACCUGGGAAUGGCAAUGGAUACUGGCAAGCUAGAGUGCGGUAGAGGGUAGUGGAAUUCCCGGUGUAGCGGUGAAAUGCGUAGAGAUCGGGAGGAACACCAGUGGCGAAGGCGGGUCUCUGGGCCGUAACUGACGCUGAGGAGCGAAAGCGUGGGGAGCGAACAGG
rnacentral:rRNA from 1 species